rnacentral:lncRNA from 1 species
GUCCAAACAAUUUCACUGGAUUUCAUUGACUUUUUUUUGUAUGGACAAACAAGCAAAUAAACAAACAAACAAAACUUUUUUUUGUGUUCCACAGAAUAAACAAAGUCAUGGUUGGAAUGACAUGAGAUUGAGUAAAUGAUGUGGCAGUAACAAGAACAUGUGGUCUCAGUCUCUCAGACUGGAAUGGGCAAUCUACAUAUGAUUAGUUAAUGCAUUUGGCAGAUACUUUUAUACAAAGCAACCUACUCUGCAUUAAAGGUACAGAUAAUAAUAAUAACAAUAAUAAUAAUAAUAAUUUAAUUAGUGCUACAAGGAAGGCUAAUAUCUGUAUUUAUGCACAGCAGGUUUUCUGUUCUUCCAGAAAUUAUCUCACUCUUUACGUUCUUUUCAUGCUUAGUUCUUUUUUAUUUGUAAAUAGUCUGACAGACCACUGAAGUGCAGAAAACAAAAGAAAUACAUAGGAUUCUUAUAGUGAACAAUGCACAUUACAAAUUAAUAUGAAUAAAAGCACAUUCUUUACAGUAAAGGUUGAUACAACACUGAUAAACACCACGCAACCCACGCAGUUUCGUGGGGCCCAUCUGGAACGCGAUUUCUACCGAGGGGGCUCCCCUGGAACGCUUGCUUAGGGCUCCGAAACUCUAAACACGCCUCUGCUUUUAUAUUAAUAAGUUUGUAAUCUAAGUGCAAACCACGUUUAUAAUGAAUACCAUGCUUUUAUUAUGUCUAUGUGACAAGUGCACUAUCGUAAACCACCACAACAGAGCGUCCCUGACACAAGAUCUCCAGUAUGAAGUGUCACUCUGUCCUGACAGGUUAGCACUUGACACACCUGAGCCCUCCCUUCUCGCCGCUCUCGGCGCACUGCGCAUGCGCAGCUCUCUCUCUCUCACGCAGCUCCACUCACUGUCAUGGCGGAGACGGAGCGGAGUAGGAGCUGAUUCAGGAAGAGAUGGCGCUGUAAAGUGGGUUACCACAAAAACUUCACUCCAACAGUUCCCACAGAGAACAGGAGGAUUGUGUUCUCUUUGGAGACCGGCGGAGAUUGACAAGUAUUGUGUUUCUUAUCUGGGCUCACCACAGCGCGAUUUCGUCCUCCUUUGGACAAGUUUAUUGCUGUUUUUCCUCUCUACAGUAGAACGAUUCCUGUCAGUCAGGUGUAGUGACAUAGCCCUACUUGAAAGCGCGAGAAACUAACGGAUAAACUGGCCGUGAAUGGAGACCAGGACCUGUUCUUCACCUCUGUCAACUUAACGAGAGCGAUAUAUACCAUACAUUUUUUCCAUAGUUUAACUCUGCUGUAGGGUCAAACAGGUCUCGCACCUGUUCCCCUCUCACCUGACUCCGUCAUGGCGAGCGCAGGUGACAGCGCUGGCGGGAUCCCUGUCAGAGGAAUCCGCAUGAAGUUCGCCGUGCUGGCGGGGCUUCUGGAGGCUGGUGAAGUCUCCAAUCGGGACAUUGUGGAGACGAUCUUCAAUCUGGUAAGCUGAUUAAAGCCUUUAAAUAGAGAUUUAAAAACACCGUGGCUGGACAAGACCAAACGUUUAGGCUCUAGCUGUUACUCCAACUAAGCUUUUAGGUUACAGUUGUAUGGCAGAAAGUGGAGCGGCGCUGCUUAAUGGUUAAAAGUCUGCUUCUUGGCUGCAAUCCCAUAAGGUUAAAAGUAUGUAGUGCCACCAAUGUGUCCUUGACCAAGACACUAAUAUCAGCUGACUGAACCUGUAAUAAGUGGUGUGUAAGUCAACGUGGAUGGAAGCAGCUGUCAUAUAAACUGAUGUGACUGUAAAGAAAGGCAAUGCACACUUUCAGAAAAAAAGGUACCUUUAUUAGGGUACAGCAGCUUGUCACUGAGGUAUGAUCGCAACUUUGCUGAAAACCCUGUUGUACAUGAUCUUCCACAUGCCUUUUGCCCUGUGAUUGGUAGUCCAUUCUUUUUUAGCAAGUAAAAAGCCUUUUAGUACAAUUUUAAAAUCAUCCCCUUCAAGUAAUCAUUGUACAUAAAAUAACUGCACAUAGCUGGAUUGAAAUCAUGUAGGUUUGUAUGUUUUGCCUCCCACAAUAAAAACAAUAGCACUUUGAUCAUAAAACUAAGCAUUAAAAGACCAUUUUACUAAGACAUUAUAUUUAUAGAAAUAUAAUUUUUUUUCCUCCUCCCACGUCCACAAGUGAGUUGAAAGCCCCUGUUAUACAUUAACUGAGUUUCAAGUAUGAGUGAGGGGUCUGUAUGUGACCCACAUUGUAGCUGAAACUGAUUGUGAGAGAUUUGCUUUGCAGGUCCUGCAGUAGAGUGAAAUGACAAUUGAAGAAUGAAUGAAUGAGAGGAAGAAGAAGUAAGAAGCGUGCUGCAACAAUGCACUCUACUCUGUUGCUGAUGUAACACAGCUGAGAGGCAGAAGACAUACUAGAUAUCAUAGGUGACAUGUAGCCUACAUGCAGUUAUGUUGCUUAGACCUUGCCUCUAAUAUAGGGCUUUAAAUUGAAUGCAGUGCAAAAACCUUUCAAGUACCAAAACCCUGAAAUUGUGACAACUUAUAUUUAUAUGUAUUUAAGCAUUAUGAGUAAUAUGUUAUGCUGUUAUAAAAAUCUCAAUGAUAUAUAUUGCAAACUGAAAUCAGAAUUUCAUCUUACUUUUUGGCCAUUUCAUCUUACUUUGUGCACCAAAUUGCACGUUUUUGGGCCUUUGAAUAGUAUUGCUUUUUUCUCUCUCCUCAAGUUCCGUAUUCUCACUGUACUAUAAACCACAAAAGUCUAAUGCAUCAAAUUUCAUACAUAACAUAAAACAUGUAUGCAAAAGUAUUUUCUUUUUGUCUAUACAGUUCAGUAGUCAAGUCAGUUAACAGUUGCAUUUAAAAAAACAACAUUUUUUCAUAUGUCUAAAUUAAUAAAGACUAUUAUUUCAUAUGUCAUCCUUUACAGGGUUACAGGAACAUCUUUGUACCUUAUUUACCCCUGAAAGCUUCAUAGUAGUACCUAAAAGGUACAUAUUACCACUUAUAUGUACCUUUUAGGGACAGACAAGGUACAAAGUCGAAAAGUACUGCCCCAGUGACAAGCUGUUGUACCCCUAAAGGUGUAAUUACUGCACAUCUUGUCUGACAGCGUAGGCUAUUUAAGUACCUAUUUUAUAGCAUGGACUUUUAUACAGCCAAUAUACAGUUAGAUUUUUAUACAGUAUUCUUAAGCAAAGGCAUGGGAUGAUUCAGUAAAACUCAGUGUUAUACUGUGCAUUUGAAAAAGCAUUUAUUAAGGGGCUCUGUUUUCUGCUGCAUUAAUCUAUGCUGUGUUUCUAGCUAUGUGGCGGUGGUUUAAAGGUUGAUCAACCUGUUUCUAAGUGCACUGCUUGUUUUAGAUAGUUUUCUCCCUGCUCCUGUCAUUGCACAGUUCUUAUGUGAAGCUAUUAUCCAUUAAUCCAUGAUGAAGGAUUACAGUUUGUAAGGAAGAAACCUGGGUUGAUUUUUCAGCAGUGACCUAAUGUUCACCCUCCUUGAAAUGAUGUCGGUGCUCUGUCAGUCUUUAAAACUCAUCUUGCAGUCUCCAUUGAGUAUAUAGUUCAGAGUUCACAGAUCACUUCAGCACAGCUCCAUGAUGUAAUAACAGCUCUUUUCUGUUGACCAGCCCCAGACACGAGGAAGUCAGUAGCACUUUCUGUAAACUGCACUCUUUUUUUCCUCCUCCCACGUCCACAAGCGAGUUGAAAGCCCCUGUUAUACAUUAGCUGAGUUUCAAGCAUGAGUGAGGGGUCUGUAUGUGACCCACAUUGUAGCUGAAACUGAUUGUGAGAGAUUUGCUUUGCAGGUCCUGCAGUAGAGUGAAAUGACAAUUGAAGAAUGAAUGAAUGAGAGGAAGAAGAAGUAAGAAGCGUGCUGCAACAAUGCACUCUACUCUGUUGCUGAUGUAACACAGCUGAGAGGCAGAAGACAUACUAGAUAUCAUAGGUGACAUGUAGCCUACAUGCAGUUAUGUUGCUUAGACCUUGCCUCUAAUAUAGGGCUUUAAAUUGAAUGCAGUGCACUUAAAAAAAAAAGUACCAAAACCCUGAACUUGAAUAUAAUGAAUGAAUAUAAUAGUCAAAUGUUCAACAAAAUUAGUAAAAUAAAGUUCUAUGUUACUUUGUAUAUGGGUUUAGUCAUGUUUUCCCGGCAGUGUGUAAAAUCCAAAGUGUUUCCACACUUGGUAUUCAAAACGGGAAGGUGCAGAAAUAAUUCUAAAGAAGGUUCGAUCCUCUGCCUCUGUCAUGGUUUGCUUUCUCGCACCAGCUUGAAAUGGAUACGACGUCAUCUAAUGUAGCGGCACUGCACAUGCAGAACGAUCAUUGUAUGACGUCAUCAAAGCAUCUGCUCUCGCUGUAGUUUGAUGUCAUACGCUGAUCGUCUGCAAGGUGCUGCUCCAAGUCGAACACCCAAGUACAUUUUGCCUUCUGUUUGAAUUAAAAAGCGCUAACACAUCUUAGGAAAAGUAAAAUAAUUAAAUAUAAAUCGAUUCUGAGGUAAACCAGUCGAUUUUUUAAUAGUUUUAAAAAGAAUUGCGAUAGUUAGGUGACUUGAUUUUUUCUUCCACCCCUAGAAAACAGUGCAGUGAUCAUGUCGGUGCCUCACACGCACAUACAACAAAUUUUUGCUAAUUUGACAUCGCAGCUUGUUCAUUAUCAAAAUAAAAUACAGUUAAAGAAACAUAAAAAAGUUACACUGCUCAAUUUAAAUAGUCCAUAGUAGUACAGUCUGUGUCGUUCAGUGUGACCGGCGCCUCACUGCUGAUACAGCCUAUAUGUGAAGGAUGAUGUUUUACGUUGAUAAUGCGAGUGAAGAACAAAGCCUAUAGUUUACAUAUUAAAUAAUAGGUUAGCAUCCAGAUAGUUUGCGAAUAUGGAAACAUUUGGAUUCUUGCAGAAUGAGAAAGGUAGGCUUCAGUUUCGUUUUUAAAUUAAUUUGUUUUGGCUUGAUACUUAUAUUUAGCCUAAAUACAACUUUAGAGGAUUUGUUGUGGAGAGAAGAGAACUAAAAUAGCCUAAUUGUGUUUGUAAUUUUGCUUUUAUUUACCAUUAUUUUAGCCUACACUAUUUCUGAAUUUAAUAAAAAAAAUGCAACAUAUAGCAUACUAAUUUAGGCAGUUUUUU